UGGAUAAUUAUUCUACUGACAGGUACGGACACUUUUGUCUGUUAACCUUGUUUUUAGUAGACUACAAUUCUGCAAGUGCUGAAGGUACUCCUUACUGCUAUAGCAUCCAUGAAGUUCAAACUUCAGAGGUAAAUUGUUAGGGGACCAAAAUGACAAUGGAACAAGUUUAGGGGAUACACUACUUAACUGUGUCAAGGAUGCCACAUUUUCAUCUAUCAAAGAUCUUCGAAUAUUUGCUGGUGGUGUUGAUAUCAAGGUUUCAAAAUACAUCAACAGGUGGAAUGUAUAAGCCAGAUUCAGGAGGGACAUGACUACAAAUAUGAUAAUGAUCAUUAUGGAAACAAGGAUUAUGACGAUCAGAAUGGUCAUAGAAGAGACCUUGAGUAGGGAUAUAGAGAUGAUGAUCGGUAUGACAGAUAUGAGGAUUCAAACAAUUGUGAUGGAGAUUGUUAUGGCAUAGAUUAUGAAGACCGCCACAACAAGGAUGAUGACUAGCGAGGUAGAAGUGUUGAUGAUUAUCAAUAGGCACAAGAUCUAGGAGCUAUGGUAGAGACAGUGUUUUUGAUGAGGAUGGUGCUUCUUCUUGGGGAAUGGUGCUAGAGCUAAUGAUCACUCUCAAGAUGGAAGGCAGCAUGAGCGCAAGCAUUCUCACCAAAAUGCUGGUGCUCCUUGCAGUUAUGUAGAAGCAGUAAGUGAGAUUUAGAUUCCUUCUUAUAGUCAAAGGGGAAGCGAUGCUAGAGCUAAUGAUCACUCUCAGGAUGGAAGGUAACCCUUCUUAUAGUGAAAGGGUUGGCCAAACUUCUGUAGCAAUUGCUCUCGGGAUUUCUCCUCCUGCUAGCAACAAUAAUCCUAACCAAGCAGCCGUUGAUAUUAGUAAUUUAGCUUCUUGAAAUUAUCAAGUGGAGGUCUUUGAUGAAUUUGAUCCAUGCGGUUCACUUUCAGCUGCUCCAACUAUUGUUCCUGCUGCAGCAGUUGUGUCCCUGCUACUGUUGUUCCUUUUGCUUCGAUCAAUGUUGAAACAGACUAUUGGAUGUUAUGUAUGAUGCAUUUGCUAUCCUCCGAGAACACUUGAAAACCAUGCUACUGAUUCUGAUGCCCGUGCCAACUCCUGGUGCUAUGACCACCUUUGCAAUCAGCCAUCAUCUAAUUUUGGAGAUCAGGUUUUGAUGAUCCAUUUAGUGAUGACACUAGUGUAUCCAGCGUUCAACCUCCAAAUUUGGAUACUCAUUCUCUGCCAAUGUUACUCUUCACCUAGUGUAUCCCGUGUUCAACCUCCAUCAACAAACUCUCAGUUUCUGCCUCAAGAAUCGUCAACUCUAAAUCAAGAAAAUGAUAUAUUGGUUGAUGUUUUCUAGCUUCUUUGACCUACACAAUCGAGGGUUAAUAUGUAUGGCCAAUAUGUGCACCCAAGUGCUAAUCCAUAUAGUCCACCGCCACAACCCGGUGCUAAUCCAUAUAGUCCACCGCCACAACCCGGUGCUAAUCAUUGCGGCUAACCCUUAUAGCCAAAUACUAAUUCAUUUGUUCAAUGGAAACAAGUCAUUUAGCUAUAACACAUGAGUGGGUCCGUUCAAGUUAGAUUCGACCCAAUUUUUUGUAGCUCAAAUUAGGAACCCCUCUUGUUAGCUGGUUUAUUUUGUCUAUAAACUCGAUUGUUUGAUUGGCCUGGACCUAACCGUCAAGCCCAAUAGACUCAAUUGAAUUGAGUUUGACCCAAAACUUGUCUCGGUCCAUUUUUGUUUGAGACAAUAUGACACAAGCCUACUUAGUGUGACCUAUUGCCUCUGGAUUUGGUGGCCAAGCCCAAGAAUCUGACCCAAUCAUCUAAACAACUUUGCUUGAGCUUAGGUUGUAUGAGCUCAAAACUAUGUCGAGCCCAACUAAGAUUGACCUAGUACUAUCCCAUAUCUCAAAUAGACAUUUUUAACUCGAUUUUAUCAAUCAAUUUUGACUAAGGUUGGCCUUAUUAAAUUUUGAAUCAUAGCCCGAUUUGUUGACUGAACCAACUUAUCUAUUAUUCUCUAUGAGCUCAUAAGUAUAUCAAGCCCAAAUAGGAUUGACUGAGUACUGACCCAUAUCUCGAAUAGACAUUUUUAACUUUACCAAUUGACUUUGCAAAGGUUGGCCUUUUCCAAUUUUGA